rnacentral:rRNA from 1 species
AUGAUUGUAACCAUGGUUAGUGCUUCUUGUAAAAGAAAGGAUGCAUUAUUACAAAAGCAUCAUGAAAAGAUUGUGUGGCAAUUAGAAAAUGGGGAGAUUGUUAAAGGAAGAGGCAAACAUCAAGAGACAACUUUAGCAAGACCCGGUGAUACGCGAUGGGGAUCUCACCAUAGGACAUUGAUUCGGCUUCAUCAAAUGUGGGAUUCGGUGAUUCAAGUGCUACAUGCUAUUUCUCAUGAUGGGGAGGAUGCGGAUGAUAGAGGCAAAGCAUCAGGUUUGAUGAAAUCUAUGGAGGUCUUUGAAUUUGUUCUGAUCUUACAUUUGAUGCUUAAAGUGCUUGGUUUGACUAAUGACUUGUCACAAGCAUUGCAACAAAAGGAUCAAAACAUAGUAAGUGCAAUGAACAUGAUUGUGUCUGUUAAAAGUUUAUUGCAACAGCUAAGGGAUGACAGAUGGGAGGCACUUUUGGUGGCUGCCACUUCGUUUUGUAUUAAAAGAGAGAUACCAGUGCCUAGUAUGGAUGAAAAUAUACUAGCAAGGGGUUACCCAAGGAGUUCCCGCAAAAUGGUUAGUUGCUUCCAUCACUACAAAGUUGAAAUAUUCAAUGAGGUUCUUGAUAGAAACAUAGCUGAGAUGAAUAACCGGUUCAGCGAAACUUCAACAAGGUUAUUGAUAUGCAUUGCUAGUCUAGAUCCUAGAGACUCAUUUAGCAGAUUUAAUUAUGAGAACCUACUUGAGCUUGCAUCUAUCUACUUAGUCGAGUUUGAUCCAGAAGAACAAUAUCAUUUGGAUGGUCAACUCAAGAUAUACAUUGAUAUGAUGAAAAGGUCUGAUGUUUUUUGCAGUUGUGGCAGUCUUGCUAAUCUUGCUCUCAAGUUGGUUGAAACUAAGGAACAUUUACACUUUCCUUUGGUUUACCGACUCAUCACACUUGCUUUGACUUUGCCAGUAGCGACGGCAUCUGUUGAAAGAGUUUUCUCAGCCAUGAAUAUCAUUAAGACAGAUUUGAGAAAUAAGAUAUCUGAUGAUUGGUUGAAUGAUCUGAUGAUAUGCUAUGUAGAGCGAGAUAUAUUUGCUGGAAUUGAUGACAAGAAGAUCAUAGAACAUUUUCACAGCUUGAGAGACCGUAGAGGCCAUCUACCAAACCCUCCCCGUAAACUUACGACUUAG